ACAGAGGGGGCAAGCGUUGUUCGGAAUUACUGGGCGUAAAGGGCGCGUAGGCGGCCUGUUAAGUCAGACGUGAAAUCCCUCGGCUCAACCGGGGAACUGCGUCUGAUACUGGCGGGCUUGAAUUCGGGAGAGGGAUGUGGAAUUCCAGGUGUAGCGGUGAAAUGCGUAGAUAUCUGGAGGAACACCGGUGGCGAAGGCGGCAUCCUGGACCGACAUUGACGCUGAGGCGCGAAAGCCAGGGGAGCAAACGGGA
rnacentral:rRNA from 1 species